GACGAACGCUGGCGGCGUGCUUAACACAUGCAAGUCGAACGGAAAGGCCCUGCUUUUUUGGGGUGCUCGAGUGGCGAACGUGUGAGUAACACGUGAGUAACCUGCCCUUGACUUUGGGAUAACUUCAGGAAACUGGUGCUAAUACCUGAUAGGAGCUCCUGCUGCUUGGUGGGGUUUGGAAAGUUUCGGCGGUUGGGGAUGGACUCGCGGCUUAUCAGUUUGUUGGUGGGGUAGUGGCUUACCAAGGCUUUGACGGGUAGGCGGCAUGUGAGGGUGACCGGCGACAAUAGGACUGAGAGAGGGCGCAGAGGGGAACGGGAGGCAGCAGGGGGGAAUAUUGAACAAUGGGGGGAAGCGUGAGGAAGAAAAGCAGGGAGCGGGAUGACGGCCUUCGGGUUGGAAACCGCAGUAGGCUGAGACGAAGCGGGAGUGACGGUAAUGGGAAAAGAAGCACCGGCUAACUACGUG
rnacentral:rRNA from 1 species